rnacentral:rRNA from 1 species
AUUGAACGCUGGCGGCAGGCCUAACACAUGCAAGUCGAACGGUAACAGGAAGAAGCUUGCUUCUUUGCUGACGAGUGGCGGACGGGUGAGUAAUGUCUGGGAAACUGCCUGAUGGAGGGGGAUAACUACUGGAAACGGUAGCUAAUACCGCAUAACGUCGCAAGACCAAAGAGGGGGACCUUCGGGCCUCUUGCCAUCGGAUGUGCCCAGAUGGGAUUAGCUAGUAGGUGGGGUAACGGCUCACCUAGGCGACGAUCCCUAGCUGGUCUGAGAGGAUGACCAGCCACACUGGAACUGAGACACGGUCCAGACUCCUACGGGAGGCAGCAGUGGGGAAUAUUGAACAAUGGGCGCAAGCCUGAUGCAGCCAUGCCGCGUGUAUGAAGAAGGCCUUCGGGUUAUAAAGUACUUUCAGCGGGGAGGAAGGGAGUAAAGUUAAUACCUUUGCUCAUUGACGUUACCCGCAGAAGAAGCACCGGCUAACUCCGUG